AGACUUUUAAAAUUCAAAGUUUUUUUGUUUUUAACAUAAAAACUUUGAAUUUUAAAAAUUUGAAGGCUUUUUGUUGCUACACAAAAAAAAUUCGAGUAACAAUUUUGGUUUAAAAAUCCGAAGUUUGAUGGACCAUCUUUUUUUGGUCAAAUAAGAACUUCAGAUUUGAGAAUCCAAUGUUGUUUUUUUCUUUUUUUGGACUUUUGAGGUAAAUUUUUAAUGGUCAAAAUUUUCUUUGUCAAAGUAAAAAUUUCGGAUUUUAAGAAGGCAAACAUAUCAAAGGCAAAAAUGCUGUAAAAGCGAAAUUAGAUUAAAAACUUAGCAUUCUCAACACCUAAAAUUAAGGCAUUUUGGGGUAAAUGGCGCAAAUUGGGUGUGUACAUAAUAAUAUUUCUAUCUCCCACAGCAUUAUGGUUGCCCACUGUCCUAUAUUCCAAGCCCCAUCCAUGCAUUCUAGUCCACUUUAUUCACAUCGAUCAGAGCCCUCUUUUGUCGCAAAUUAAGGAAUGUACUUCUUGGCUUCCUAUUUGGUGGAAAGCUCAUCGCCCGUGUAACAUGUGCUAUCAAUUAGGAAAUUAGGUAUGGGUGUGCUAAGUCUCGUAGAGUUAAUUUUAGGUAAUUAGAAUUACAAUUGGCUUCCCCAUGGUUCAUGACAUGUAUCACUAUGUUAGUUUAUGAAUAGUAAUGUAAGAUAUUGAUUUGGUUGAAAUUCGAUGUAAUAUUGAAAGUGUUUGAUGCAAUGCGUCACAAGUGUACGUAACUGAAUUUUGUUUAAGUAUGUAAUGAGUUGUAACCAUGCAAUCUCUCAUUAUUCAAUUGAAUGGAAAUUCAUGUUGG
rnacentral:lncRNA from 1 species